CCUGACCUCGGAUCAGUCGUGACUACCCGCUGAACUUAAGCAUAUCAAUAAGCGGAGGA
rnacentral:rRNA from 4 species